rnacentral:rRNA from 1 species
AUUGAACGCUGGCGGCAGGCCUAACACAUGCAAGUCGAGCGGAUGAAGGGAGCUUGCUCCUGGAUUCAGCGGCGGACGGGUGAGUAAUGCCUAGGAAUCUGCCUGGUAGUGGGGGAUAACGUCCGGAAACGGGCGCUAAUACCGCAUACGUCCUGCGGGAGAAAGUGGGGGAUCUUCGGACCUCACGCUAUCAGAUGAGCCUAGGUCGGAUUAGCUAGUUGGUGGGGUAAAGGCCUACCAAGGCGACGAUCCGUAACUGGUCUGAGAGGAUGAUCAGUCACACUGGAACUGAGCCGCGGUCCAGACUACUACGGGAGGCAGCAGUGGGGAAUAUUGGACAAUGGGCGAAAGCCUGAUCCAGCCAUGCCGCGUGUGUGAAGAAGGUCUUCGGAUUGUAAAGCACUUUAAGUUGGGAGGAAGGGCAGUAAGUUAAUACCUUGCUGUUUUGACGUUACCAACAGAAUAAGCACCGGCUAACUUCGUG